CAAGUCAUGGGGUUUGUUUUCUAAACCCUAAACCCCUGCCAGCCAGCGUUGGCGAAAGAAGCCAUCAAGCUCCAAUGGCGGACGGUCAGCUCCGGAAGACAUUUCCCGUAAAAUCACGGUUAAGACCUACGCCAAAGAAUUCCUCGUCAUCUCCGGAAUCCAAAUACUGGAGAUCAUUCAAGACUCAGCAAAUUUCCGGCCUCAUCUCCGCCAUCACCUCCAUCGAUUUCUCCCCGGAACCCCCACACGACUUCGCCGCUACCUAUUCUGCCUCCGUAACCAUCUACGAUUCCCAAACCUUCGAACCCAAAGCGAAAAUCUCCGAUUUCACCGACGUCGCUUACUCUGCUACUUAUCGUUCCGACGGGAAGCUCCUGGCUGCGGGAGGCGAGUCUGGACUCGUCCAAGUCUUCGAUCUCAAGAAACGGAUUCCCCUGCGUCAGCUGCGCGGCCACUCUCGCUCGGUUCGACUCGUUCGGUACGCACGACUAGAUAAACUCCACCUGUUCUCAGGUGGCGACGAUGCUCUCGUCAAGUACUGGGAUGUCGCUUCAGAGACCGAACUAAUUAACUUUCAAGGCCAUAAGGACUACGUCCGAUGUGGUUUUGCUUCGCCUGCUAGCUCGGACAUGUUCGCGACUGGGUCGUAUGAUCAUACAGUUCGACUUUGGGAUGCCCGCGUUUCUUCUCUAAGCUCGGUUUUGCAGCUUAAUCAUGGAAAACCGGUCGAAGACGUUAUUUUUCUUCCAUCUGGUGGCUUAAUUGCGACUGCUGGUGGGAAUUCUGUUAAGAUAUGGGAUGCCAUUGGAGGUGGGAAGCUUGUUUAUACCAUGGAGAGUCACAAUAAGACGGUGACUUCGCUUUGUGUCGGUAAGGUCAGAAAGAAUGGUGGUGAGCAGUCUCAACAAUUCAGGCUUUUGAGUGUGUCAUUGGAUGGGUAUAUGAAGGUUUUUGAYUUCUCGGCAUUGAAGCUCGUCCAUUCAAUGAGGUACCCCGCACCACUUCUGUCGAUGGGGUUCUCCCCUGAUUGUUCUGCCAGAGUUAUUGGUACCUCCAAUGGUGCCCUUUUUGUUGGGAAGAGGAAGAAAGACCCAAGUUCUGGUGAUAAUGAUAUUUCGGGAAUGGAUAAAUUUUUGGGUUUCGGUUCAUUGGAGGAGCCUGAGAGUCGGGUCUUAAAGCCUACAUAUUUUCGGUACUUUCAGAGAGGACAGAACGAAAAGCCCUCGGAAGGGGAUUACUUGAUUAAGAGACCGGCAAAGGUGAAAUUGGCAGAGCACGAUAAACUCUUGAAGAAGUUUAGGCACAAGGAAGCUCUAGUUUCUGCGUUAAAUGGGAAUAGUCCGCAGAGUGUGGUGGCGGUUAUGGAGGAAUUGGUGGCUAGGAAGAAGCUGCUACAAUGUGUAUCAAAUUUGGAUAGAGAGGAGCUUGAGUUGCUCCUUCGGUUUCUACAGCGGUAUUCAACAAUGCCAAGAUACUCGGGCUUCUUGCUGGCAUUGUGCAAGAAGGUUCUUCAGUUGAGGGCUGAUGAUAUUAUGACUGAGGAUGUCUUGAAGGGCCAUAUUAGAAACCUCAAGAGCUCGGUAGAGGAGGAGAUAAGAACACAGCAGUCAUUGCAGGAGAUACAGGGUAUUAUUUCUCCUUUGUUGUCGAUAGCUGGAAGGAGAUAAACGUGAUCUCUCGUAGCUUGUUUUAAAGCCUUAUAUGCAGCAGAGGCAGACUGAAUUCGUAACUGGGCUGAAAGCUGUGCUCGGUUCUCUUUCAUCGAUGUAAUGGAGAUGUACAUGGAGAACACUUGGGUUUCUGUCUUUUCACUUUCAGUCAUUUGCGCAUUCAUAAUUCUUUCAAGUACAGGCAAUGCAGAAGGUGCAAAAUUAACUGUGCGGCUUGCUCCACUGAUUAGAACCAAGUUGACCUACUUUUUUAUGGGUCCUACCUUGUCUAUAGUGAAUGGUGAAAGUAUUUUGUACCUUUGCUGUUGCUUUCUAGCAUUCCUCUUACGGAAGUCCUUGUGUUUCUGAAAUGAAAUUAUUUUUUUUCUAGAGAGAUUUUCUAGAUAAAUGGUAUUUUCUUCAGGAAAGUUUUUUACUUGUAAGGUUGCCAUUACAUAGGCAUAGUACAACUAACUCCUUGGAUUGUAUCAUUGUUGGGGAGUUCAUUCAACCCUGCUAACAAAUUUGUAGGGCAGAAAAAUCUUUCUUCAAGAAAUUUUGGUAUAUUAGUUAUUUUCUAUGUUUUUUAAAGUUUCUACAUGAACCAUUUUUUGUCAUUUCUUUCUUUUUUUGGGAUCUUAAUAUCCAUAAAUUUCUAUGAGCAACCGUGUUUGUGAUUAUCCUUGAAGUGAAAAACUAAAUUGUUAGUUUAGUUAUGUCGAGUCAAUAUUUGUAUGGAACAUGGUCUAGUUACGUAUGUCAUGGAGAAGGAACCAUUUCUUAGACAUGAGAGAAGGAGGAAAAGGGAUGCUGGUUGGCAUACCAUUAAUAACUUAUCUCAUUGCUUAUUUAAUUUGUCUUCACACCACAAGAAAAAUGACUUUUAGCGGCAGUCAAAUGUCCUUGUCCCUUAUGCCCAUUAUCUUUUUUAUUUUUUAUCAAUAA